rnacentral:rRNA from 1 species
AUUUUAACAUAUCGUUAUUCUAUAAUAUAAUUAAGUUUUUAAAAAUUAAUAUAAGAAAUAUAAAAGUAUUUAUUAAUGAAAUUUUAGAAAGACUAUAGCUAAUAAGUACUGAAUAGGAAGUAGUAUAAUAUAAUUUAAAAUUUAUAAGUAAAUGUCGAUUAUUGUACCUUGUGUAUCAGGGAUAAUCAAAUUAUUACAAACAUGUUUGUAUUUCUCGAACUAAGGAUAGCUAAUAUUUUAAACUAGUUUUUGUAAUAUAAAAAUUUGUAAUUUAAUAUUAAAGAUGAAAUGUCAUACGAGCCUUAUAUUAUCUAGUUCUCUAAGAAUAAAAUAUAAUUUGACUAUCAGAUUUAAUUAAUCUAAUAGUAAAGGGUAGGAGGGAUUAGCUUCUUAUCACUAAAAAUAUUAAAUAAUAGAGAUGAAAUAGAAUGUAACUUUUCUAGGCUUAAAAGUAGCCAUGGUGAUAAAGUGUUUUAAUUUAGGUUUACAAUUAAAUUAAUUUAUCGAAUCUUUAUAAAGUAUUAGGGUAUUAAUCAAAAUAGGAAAAAUUAAGAAACAAUGAUUAUAUUAGUAAAGCAUAAUUUAUAAAAGGGUAAGAAAUAAAAUAAGAAUAAAAAAUUAUAAAAGAUAUUUGAAAUAAAAAAGGAAUUCGGCAAAAAAUUGUUCUUGCCUGUUUAUCAAAAACAUGGCUAUUAUGGGGUUAUUUAUAGUCUAGCCUGCUCACUGAUAGAAAUUAUUAAAUAGCCGCGGUAUCUUGACCGUGCAAAGGUAGCAUAAUCAUUAGUUUUUUAAUUGAAAACUUGUAUGAAUGGUUGGACAAAGAACAAACUGUCUCUUUUGUUUUUAUUGAAUUUAACUUUUAAGUGAAAAGGCUUAAAUAUUCUAGAGGGACGAUAAGACCCUAUAAAGCUUUAUAAAUUUAAAAAUCUUAUAUAUUUUUAUAUAAAAAUAAUUUUUGAGGAGUUUAUUUGGUUGGGGCGACAGUGGUAUAAGUAAUGUAACUGCUAUAGUGUUUAACAAAAAUAUUUGUUUAGUGUAAGUAAUUGAUCCUUUAUAAGGAUUUUAAGAUCAAGUUACUUUAGGGAUAACAGCGUUAUUUUUUCUGAGAGUUCUUAUCAAAGAAAAAGUUUGCGACCUCGAUGUUGAAUUAAAAUGUCUUUAUAGUGCAGCAGCUAUAAAAGAAGGUCUGUUCGACCUUUAAUAUUUUACAUGAUUUGAGUUCAGACCGGCGGGAGCCAGGUCGGUUUCUAUCUUCUAGAGAUAGUGAGAGUAUCUUAGUACGAAAGGAUUGGGUAGUCAAAAAUUUUUUUUAAAAUGAAGU